GACGAACGCUGGCGGCGUGCUUAACAUAUGCAAGUCGAACGGUGAAGCGCCUUCCUUUUUGGUGGGUGUGGAUGAGCGGCGAACGGGUGAGUAACACGUUAGUAACCUGCCCCCUUCUUCUGGAUAACCGCAUGAAAGUGUGGCUAAUACGGGAUAUUCUGGGUCUGUCGCAUGAUGGGUCUGGGAAAGAUAUUGUUUCGGUGGGGGAUGGGCUCGCGGCCUAUCAGCUUGUUGGUGGGGUGAUGGCCUACCAAGGCGGUGACGGGUAGCCGGCCUGAGAGGGUGGACGGUCACACUGGGACUGAGACACGGCCCAGACUACUACAGGAGGCAGCAGUGGGGAAUGUUGCACAAUGAGGGCAAGCCUGAUGCAGCGACGCCGCGUGAGAGAUGGAGGCCUUCGGGUUGUGAACCUCUUUCGCAAGUGAAGCAGGCCUGCCUCGUUUGUGGGUGGGUUGACGGUAGCUGGAUAAGAAGCGCCGGCUAACUACGUG
rnacentral:rRNA from 1 species